rnacentral:lncRNA from 1 species
UUGAUGCAAUUCCACUUGGUUCUUCUUCCUCUUGCUUGCAGAAGAUGAUUGGAAUCAAAAUGGAUGUGAGUCCUAGGAGUUCUAGUUCACAAACAGAAAUUGAACUAGAAGCUCGAUUUCAAUGAAAUCCUCAAGGUAUUUUCUCAAGUAUGGCUAUGGGAUUGUUUGGCAGAGCUUGGGCAAGGGUCAUCCUCUAUUCU